rnacentral:rRNA from 1 species
UGAACGCUGGCGGCAUGGUUAAGACAUGCAAGUCGAACGAAAAACAAAUCUUCGGAUUUGUGGAAAGUGGCGAACGGGUGCGUAACACGUGAGCAACCUGCCCUAAAGUGCGGAAUAGCCUGCCGAAAGGUGGAUUAAUGCCGCAUGUGGCCUUACAUCGCAUGUUGUAAUGGUUAAAGCUUGUAACGGCGCUUUAGGAUGGGCUCGCGGCCUAUCAGCUUGUUGGUGAGGUAAAAGCUCACCAAGGCUAAGACGGGUAGCUGGUCUGAGAGGAUGAUCAGCCACACCGGGACUGAGACACGGCCCGGACACCUACGGGUGGCAGCAGUUUCGAAUCAUUCACAAUGGGCGAAAGCCUGAUGGUGCAAUGCCGCGUGGAGGAUGAAGGCCCUAGGGUCGUAAACUCCUGUCAUUGGGGAGCAACAAGCAGGUUUAUAGCCUGCCCUGAGUUAACCCAAAGAGGAAGAGG